AAUCAACGCUGGCGGCGUGCCUAACACAUGCAAGUCGAACGCGAGAGGGGCUUCGGCCCCGAUUGAGUGGCGAACGGGUGAGUAACGCGUGGGGUGACCUACCUUCGAGUGGGGGAUAACGUCCCGAAAGGGACGCUAAUACCGCAUAACAUCCUGCUUUUGAAUGGGUGGAGAUCAAAGCCGGGGAUCGCAAGACCUGGCGCUUGAUGAGGGGGCCCGCGUCUGAUUAGCUAGUUGGGAGGUAACGGCCCACCAAGGCAACGAUCAGUAUCCGGCCUGAGAGGGGCGGGACGGACACACUGGGACUGAGACACGGCCCAGACUCCUACGGGAGGCAGCAGUGGGGAAUUGUUCGCAAUGGGCGCAAGCCUGACGACGCAACGCCGCGUGGGGGA
rnacentral:rRNA from 1 species